CCACUCGACGAUGAAGGAGUUGCCUCCUACAUCAUCAACGGGUUGGACUCUGAGUUCAAUCCGUAGGCAUCAUCGGUGAUGGCAAGGGCGGAACCAGUCUCAAUCUCUGAACUCUACUCUCAGAUGCUCAGCUUUGAGA
rnacentral:snoRNA from 1 species